rnacentral:rRNA from 1 species
GUUGGUAAGGUAACGGCUUACCAAGGCUAAGACGGGUAGCUGGUCUGAGAGGACGACCAGCCACACUGGAACUGAGACACGGUCCAGACACCUACGGGUGGCAGCAGUCGAGAAUUUUUCACAAUGGGCGCAAGCCUGAUGGAGCGACGCCGCGUGGGGGAUGAAUGGCUUCGGCCCGUAAACCCCUGUCAUUUGCGAUCAAACGCUGUAAUUUAAAAGAUGACAGCCUGAUAGUAGCGAAAGAGGAAGGGACGGCUAACUCUGUGCCAGCAGCCGCGGUAAUACAGAGGUCCCAAGCGUUGUUCGGAUUCACUGGGCGUAAAGGGUGCGUAGGUGGCGGGGUAAGUCGGAUGUGAAAUCUCCGAGCUCAACUCGGAAAUGGCAUUGGAAACUGCUCUGCUCGAGGGUUGGAGGGGGGACUGGAAUACUUGUAGCAGUGAAAUGCGUAGAUAUCAAGUGGAACACCAGUGGCGAAGGCGAGUCCCUGGACAACUCCUGACACUGAGUCACGAAAGCUAGGGGAGCGAACAGGAUUAGGUACCCUGGUAGUCCUAGCCGUAAACGGUGCACGUUUGCUGUAAAAGGAAUCGACCCCUUUUGUGGCGUAGCUAACGCGUUAAACGUGCCGCCUGGGAAGUACGGUCGCAAGAUUAAAACUCAAAGAAAUUGACGGGGGCCUGCACAAGCGGUGGAGUAUGUGGCUCAAUUCGAUUCAACGCGAAGAACCUUACCUGGCCUUGACAUGUACGUAGUAGAAGGGUGAAAGCCUGACGAGAUAGCAAUGUCAGCGUACACAGGUGCUGCAUGGCUGUCGUCAGCUUGUGUCGUGAGAUGUUGGGUUAAGUCCCGCAACGAGCGCAACCCCUGUGUCCUGUUGCCACCCCGAUGAAAGUCGGGAGCACUCUGGACAGACUGCCUCGCUUAAACGAGGAGGAAGGUGGGGAUGACGUCAAGUCAGUAUGGCCCUUACGGCCAGGGCUGCACACGUACUACAAUGCCCGGCACAAAGGGAAGCGAGACCGUCAGGUGGAGCUAAUCCCCAAAAACCGGGCCCAGUUCAGAUUGUCGUCUGCAACUCGACGGCAUGAAGUUGGAAUCGCUAGUAAUGGCGCAUCAGCUACGGCGCCGUGAAUACGUUCCCAGGCCUUGUACACACCGCCCGUCACAUCAUGAAAGCCGUUUGUACCCGAAGUCACCGUGCUAACCGCAAGGAAGUAGGUGCCGAAGGUAUGGAUGGUGAUUGGGAUGAAGUCGAAACAAGGUA